rnacentral:rRNA from 1 species
GAAAUCCCCGGGCUCAACCCUGGGAACUGGCAUCCGGAACUGGCAGGCUAGAGUCUUGUAGAGGGGGGUAGAAUUCACAGGUGUAGCGGUGAAAAUGCGUAGAGAUCUGGAGGAAUACCGGGUGGCGAAGGCGGCCCCCCUGGACAAAGACUGACGCUCAGGUGCGAAAAGCGUGGGGAGCAAAACAGGAUUAGAUACCCUGGUAGUCCACGCCCGUAAACGAUGUCGACUUGGAGGUUGUGCCCUUGAGGCGUGGCUUCCGGGAGCUAACGCGUUAAGUCGACCGCCUGGGGAGUACGGCCGCAAGGUUAAAACUCAAAUGAAUUGACGGGGGCCCGCACAAGCGGUGGAGCAUGUGGUUUAAUUCGAUGCAACGCGAAGAACCUUACCUACUCUUGACAUCCAGAGAACUUAGCAGAGAUGCUUUGGUGCCUUCGGGAACUCUGAGACAGGUGCUGCAUGGCUGUCGUCAGCUCGUGUUGUGAAAUGUUGGGUUAAGUCCCGCAACGAGCGCAACCCUUAUCCUUUGUUGCCAGCGAUUCGGUCGGGAACUCAAAGGAGACUGCCAGUGAUAAACUGGAGGAAGGUGGGGAUGACGUCAAGUCAUCAUGGCCCUUACGAGUAGGGCUACACACGUGCUACAAUGGCAUAUACAAAGAGAAGCGACCUCGCGAGAGCAAGCGGACCUCAUAAAGUAUGUCGUAGUCCGGAUUGGAGUCUGCAACUCGACUCCAUGAAGUCGGAAUCGCUAGUAAUC